GGAGGCGAACCGGGGGAAUUGAAACAUCUCAGUACCCCGAGGAAAAGAAAUCAAUCGAGAUUCCCCCAGUAGCGGCGAGCGAACGGGGAGCAGCCCAGAGUCAACAUCAAUAUUUACCGCAGGAGAAGGGUCUGGAAAGGCCGGCAAUAAAGGGUAAUAGCCCCGUAUCUGAAACGGUAAGUGUUGUGAACUCGAAGAGUAGGGCGGGACACGUGUUAUCCUGUCUGAAUAUGGGGGGACCAUCCUCCAAGGCUAAAUACUCCUGACUGACCGAUAGUGAACCAGUACCGUGAGGGAAAGGCGAAAAGAACCCCGGCGAGGGGAGUGAAAUAGAACCUAAAACCGUGUACGUACAAGCAGUGGGAGCACCCAAAAGGGUGUGACUGCGUACCUUUUGUAUAAUGGGUCAGCGACUUAUAUUCUGUAGCAAGGUUAACCGGAUAGGGGAGCCGUAGGGAAACCGAGUCUUAACUGGGCGUUAAGUUGCAGGGUAUAGACCCGAAACCCGGUGAUCUAGCCAUGAGCAGGUUGAAG
rnacentral:rRNA from 1 species